AGGCCAUGAUGGGGGCACUGUCUCAUCAUGCUCUUGAAUCUGUCCUAAGCUUCAAAUAAUGAUUCUAAGUCAAUUUGUUUGAAGCUAGCAAUCUGGUUCCUCAUGU